rnacentral:rRNA from 1 species
CCUACGGGAGGCAGCAGUAGGGAAUAUUGCUCAAUGGGGGAAACCCUGAAGCAGCAACGCCGCGUGGAGGAUGAAGGUUUUCGGAUUGUAAACUCCUUUUGUUAGAGAAGAUAAUGACGGUAUCUAACGAAUAAGCACCGGCUAACUCCGUGCCAGCAGCCGCGGUAAUACGUAGGGUGCAAGCGUUACUCGGAAUCACUGGGCGUAAAGAGCGCGUAGGCGGGAUAGCAAGUCAGAUGUGAAAUCCUAUGGCUUAACCAUAGAACUGCAUUUGAAACUGUUAGUCUAGAGUAUGGGAGAGGUAGGUGGAAUUCUUGGUGUAGGGGUAAAAUGCGUAGAGAUCAAGAGGAAUACUGAUGGCGAAGGCGACCUGCUAGAACAUAACUGACGCUGAUGCGCGAAAGCGUGGGGAGCAAACAGGAUUAGAUACCCGAGUAGUC